rnacentral:lncRNA from 1 species
AGAGUAGGCCAUGAGUGUUCAGCCACCAUGCAUUAUCAACCACUGGUACAACUAUAAAAGCUCAUUCAGGAUACAGAA